UAUCAGAAAGGUUUAUUUGCGAUUGUUUGAGAGGGGGGGGGGGAAAAACCCCUGUGUAGCCACAGGCAGACAAGCUCAGUGCUCAGGAACAUAAUGGCUGGAGCCCGCGGGCCCAUAUGCUCGCCAUCCUGGGAGGUGGAAGGCCAGCUCUGAUCACAUCCAGCUGCUCAGGAUACAACUGAUCAGGUCCUCACUACCAUGUUUUUGGGCAAGAUACUUUUAGAAGAACACCUCAACCAGAUCAUACUCUCAAAGACCUGAGCCUUUACUGAUGGCAGGCAAUAAUUCUGCAUUUUGGAGUAUCUUCUUACUCUUAUGCAUGGCAACAUUUAACAGCACACCACCAUCUGCCACAGAAGCACAGACCACUAAUGGCAUCAUAAGAAUAAGUGUGUACCUAUCUAUAUUUUAUUACUCAUGCCAUUUCAGGGUUUUGCAGAUAAUUAACUCUGAAUACUUAUUCAUCUAUUUUCCCUCAAAAAUGUUACCAUUCCACUUAAAACCCUUCUUUGUGGUCCAAGCAGCAGCACACUUAAUCAGACCGAGCAGGGCCGCAGAGCAGCUUUGAAGAGGCCUUAAAAUAUCUGAAAACUCUAAACCCAAGCCAUGGGAAGGGGACUGCUCUCAUCCAGCCUCCCCUUGCUCUCCUCUCCUGUAGCUUGGGGGAGACAGCAGAGUUCCUGAUCCCCCAGGGACAGGGAUACAACCCCCUGAAACCACAGUGUUUCUCCAACACUGUGUCAGCCCAGACACACUGACUCAAUCCAACACACCACUGAACCAAAAUAUUUUGAUUUGAUAAAACAAACUCAACAACUGUUUAGACUUUGUCUGACCAGACUCACAAUGGAGGUUUCCUUUUCAACUUCCCUAUUUAUUCUCAUCUCUGCCAUCACGCAGUUAGGUGAGCAAAGCCAAAGCCAUUCCCUUCUCCUUUCCCCCCUGGAUCCCCAGGGAAUGGUCAGGUCUCCUGGGCUGUCUCCCACCGCACUCCUGCAUGGAGCCAACCCAACAGGGCUGUGGAUGGCUUCAGGAAACCCUACACACAGCUAUAAUGAAAAAUUAUUAUUCCAGCAUUUUGCUUUCCAGUUGUUACACGGGCACUUCCCACAAACCCAGUAUGGGAGUGAAAGGCCUCACUUUGGUUGUUAGUGGGUUUACAGUGUCUUUCCCAACACAUCCUUGUCUCCCUGGUACAACAAAACAACCCUGCUCCUCUCUCAGCCACACCCAACCUCCAGCUCCCCGUGCACGACCCGGGCUCCCGAGUGCUCGUGGUGGGAGGUCCGUUCUCACAUCAGAUUAAAGCCAGGCAGAAUCAAUUAAAGCAAAAAGGACGGGCUCUGCUGAGAUGACAGAAGGCAUUUGGGGCAAAAUCUCACAGCUGAAUGUAGGAGAGAUGCCUUGCCCAGGCUCUCUUGUUCCUCCACAGAAGCUGGGGCACAACAACAUCUCUCCAGAUGAAUCCAGACUGCCAGUCCUACCUAAUACUUUUUUGGAGCGGCUCAUGGUGCUAAACAGCAAGGAAGAUCCAAGUCAGAGACAGAUAGAAGAGGAUAUGAAUGUAGGAGAUGAUCAGAGGAGGGACUUCUGGUGUUCUGAAAUACUUCCACAGCUUUGCCAAACCAUGGCUUGUGCAGCCUCCCCUGGAGCCACUCCUGGGUGAAUUCACAUCCCGUUAUCUUCUGGAUUUGGGCUGGGGAGAGGAAGAGGCUGUCAGACAAAUCUUCCAACUCUGAUUUCCCAACAUGUGUGAAACCUGUCACGUCAGCAUCUCUUGGAACUCUAAGCUGGAGACAAAGGCCAUGGAAAAGACUCUUCAGAAGGCAGUAAGCCACCAGUUCACCUCUUCACCAGGUCUAAUUCUACACAGCUGUCUCAAAAUAAGUGGACCAUCGGCCACAUUUUGCUAUCAGCCACCCCUUUUACUUUGACAAGGGACCAAGAUACCACAAGACCAGUCCUCCUACAAGGCGGAUUCAUUCUCGCUCAGCAUCCAAAGUUCAGCUUGGAGGACAAGGAAAAUGAGAGAAAUGGCUAGUGACACUAAGCCUUGAUAGGGUCAUGGGCUUUGCAACAGCUUCAACAUGCAGGCGGGUGAAAACAUCCCUCCCAAAGUAAAGGGACAGAGGAAAGAAAAAGGAAAG